CUCAGUGGUUGAGCAUUGACCUAUGAACCAGGAGGUCAUGGUUAGAUUCCCGGUCAGGGCACAUGCCUAGGUUGCUCAAUCCCCAGUAGGGGGCAUGCAGAAGGUAGCCAAUCAAUGAUUCCUUCUCAUCAUUGAUGUUUCUAUCUCUCACUCCCUCUCCCUUCCUCUCUGAAAUCAAUU